rnacentral:snRNA from 1 species
GUCUGACAUGUGUGCGAG